AAAAAAAGAAAAAAGAAAGAGGAGGGUGCAAAAUCAAAAGAAACCCAAAUCAAAAGAAAGAAAAAGAAAGAAAGAAAGAAAAGAAAAAUAGCACACUCAAAGUCCCAAGUUGACUGAUGCUGAGUUCGAUCGAAAAGAAGAGAUCAACUGCCAUGUGUCAUGGUCAGUUAUAUCAGCAGAGAGUGAUGAAAGCAUUCGACAAGAAGGUCAAGCCUCGUGUGUUCCGAGGGACCUUGUGCUCGAGAAAGUCUUGUCUUUCGUGCCCGAUUCCAGGGGCAAGUGAAC
rnacentral:lncRNA from 1 species